AGUGGCGCACGGGUGAGUAACGCGUGGAUAUCUGCCUUUUGGUUCGGAAUAACCCCGGGAAACUGGGGCUAAUACCGGAUGGUUCCUUCGGGAUAAAGAUUUAUCGCCAAAAGAUGAGUCCGCGUACGAUUAGCUAGUUGGUGAGGUAAUGGCUCACCAAGGCGACGAUCGUUAGCUGGUCUGAGAGGACGAUCAGCCACACUGGGACUGAGACACGGCUCAG
rnacentral:rRNA from 1 species